rnacentral:rRNA from 1 species
AGAAUCAACGCUGGCGGCGUGCCUAACACAUGCAAGUCGCACGAGAAAGGGACUUCGGUCCUGAGUACAGUGGCGCACGGGUGAGUAACACGUGAAUAAUCUACCUCCGAGUGGGGAAUAACUGAGAGAAAUCUUAGCUAAUACCGCAUAACACUUACGAGUCAAAGCAGCAAUGCGCUUGGAGAGGAGUUCGCGGCAGAUUAGUUAGUUGGCGGGGUAAUGGCCCACCAAGACGAUGAUCUGUAUCCGGCCUGAGAGGGCGCACGGACACACUGGAACUGAAACACGGUCCAGACUCCUACGGGAGGCAGCAGUGGGGAAUUUUGCGCAAUGGGGGAAACCCUGACGCAGCAACGCCGCGUGGAGGAUGAAUCCCUUGGGAUGUAACUCCUUUCGAUCGGGAAGAUAAUGACGGUAUCGAGAGAAGAGCCCGGCUAACUUCGUGCCAGCACGCCGC